GUGUCUAUCGUACCUUGUUGCUUCGGCGGGCCCGCCGUUUCGACGGCCGCCGGGGAGGCCUUGCGCCCCCGGGCCCGCGCCCGCCGAAGACCCCAACAUGAACGCUGUUCUGAAAGUAUGCAGUCUGAGUUGAUUAUCGUAAUCAGUUAAAACUUUCAACAACGGAUCUCUUGGUUCCGGCAUCGAUGAAGAACGCAGCGAAAUGCGAUAAGUAAUGUGAAUUGCAGAAUUCAGUGAAUCAUCGAGUCUUUGAACGCACAUUGCGCCCCCUGGUAUUCCGGGGGGCAUGCCUGUCCGAGCGUCAUUGCUGCCCUCAAGCACGGCUUGUGUGUUGGGCCCCCGUCCCCCUCUCCCGGGGGACGGGCCCGAAAGGCAGCGGCGGCACCGCGUCCGGUCCUCGAGCGUAUGGGGCUUUGUCACCUGCUCUGUAGGCCCGGCCAGCGCCAGCCGACACCCAACUUUAUUUUUCUAAGGUUGACCUCGGAUCAGGUAGGGAUACCCGCUGAACUUAAGCAGAUCAAUAAGCGGAGGA
rnacentral:rRNA from 1 species